GAUUAACGCUGGCGGCGUGCAUAACACAUGCAAGUCGAACGAUGAAACUUAAAUGAUUUCUUCGGAAUGAACUUAAGUGGAUUAGUGGCGGACGGGUGAGUAACGCGUGAGUAACCUGCCUUACACAAGGGGGUAGCCGUUGGAAACGACGAAUAAUACCCUAUGAAACUAUCACUUCGCAUGAAGCGAUAGUCAAAGUGUUAGCGGUGUAAGAUGGACUUGCGUCUGAUUAGCUAGUUGGUGAGAAAAAAGCCCACCAAGGCAACGAUCAGUAGCCGGCUUGAGAGAGUGUACGGCCACAUUGGGACUGAGACACGGCCCAGACUCCUACGGGAGGCAGCAGUGGGGAAUUUUGCACAAUGGGGGAAACCCUGAUGCAGCGACGCCGCGUGAUUUAGAAGGCCUUCGGGUUGUAAAAAUCUUUUGUAUAGGAAGAAAAUGACAGUACUAUACGAAUAAGGUCCGGCUAAUUACGUG
rnacentral:rRNA from 1 species